AUGAAGUGAUGUGAAAUUUCAUGGUCUGUCAAUCCACUGAUUUUUCAUGAUGUUUCUCAUGAUAUCCCGACAGGUUCUGAUCAU